UCGAUUUCUUCUUUGUUUUAGAGUUCUGGUGCCAGUCUUGUGAGUGUGAAGGAAGUGGCAUGUUCUGGAAGACAGAUGUGGCUCUCUUCAAAAAGAGAUGCUCUUUCCAGUAUUUUCCUGAUGUUGUCCUUUGUGACAGGUAUCAUCUCACCAGCUGCGCUUCGUGCGUGUGCACGCUCAUCUCUGUAGACUCCAUAUUCG
rnacentral:lncRNA from 1 species